CGCGGCUGCCCCGGCGCCCCUCGCCCCCGCCAGGCCGGGUCCUCCGCGCGCCGCUGGACAGAAGGAUGGGAGAAUGUGGCACCUGAAACAGCUGCAUCCACCUUGUGACCAGGAGGGAGUCCACACACCUGGGAUGACAAGGUGGUGUGCUCUCUCCCCCUCUCUCUAAAAGAAGAAAAAAAAAGAUUACUUCACAUCCACGAGACUGGUGAUAAUCAAAAGACAGAUAAUAACAGAUGUGGAGAACUCAGAACUCUCAUCCUCUGCUGGUGAAAAUGUAAAAUAGUUCGGCCACUUUGGAAAACAGUUUGGCACUUCUUCAAAAAAUUAUAUAUAAAGGUUAAACAGAGAGUCCAUCCCUAGGCAUAUUAUACCCAAGAGAACUGAAAACUUAUGUCCACACAAAACCAUGUACAGGAUUGUUCAUAGCAGCAUCAUUCAUAAUAGCCAGAAAGUGGAAAAACCUAAAUGUCCGUCAACUGAUGAAUGGAUAAAUAAAAGAUUUAAUAUCCAUAGAAUGAAAUAUUAUUCGGUCAUAAAAAGGACUGUAGUACUAACAUGCUACAAAAUGGAUGAAUCUUAAAAACAUGCUAAGUGAAAGAAGAAAGACACAAAAAAUCACAUAUUGUAUGACUCCAUUUGUAUGACGUAUCCAUAACAGACAAAUCCAUAUAGACAGAAAGUAGAAGUGGUUGACAGGAGCUGGGGGAAGAUGGGAAUAGUGGUUAGUACUAAUGAAUAUGAUUUCUUUUUGGUGUGACAAAAAUAUUCUGGAACUAGAUAUUGGUGUUGGCUGCACAACCUGUGAAUGUACUAAAAACUACAGACUAGUACACUCGAAAGGGGUGAAUUUUAUCUCAACUUAACCAUGGAAUACACUUUAUCCUAAGUUCAUACAUAGAGGCAUUGGGCACUCUGAUUAAGCACACAUGUUACCUGAAAACCUGACUUGAUCAUUUCCUAAUAACAUGGUCAAAUGAUGUGCUCUGAGACAGAUUACGUACCUGCUCUGUGGCGUAGUAUCCUCAUCUGAAAAAUGGAGGCAAUGAUACUGCCUACUUCAUAGGGUUAGACUCUGUGAGGAUUAACGAAUAAAUCCAGGGGAACACUUUAGCACCUGGUAUAGCACAUAGUAAGAGCUCAGUAUUAGGUAGUAUUCAUUUUCUUAAAAACUAUUUCAGGUAAUUUCAGAAGUGCUGAAAGACAUAGAACACUAUAUGAAUCAGGAAGUCAUGAGGCAGAGGGCAUUUACAAGUAAGGAAGGGAAAGAGGGUUCAAUUCCUUUUAAGUAAAAGUGGAUAUUGUAGGUGGACCAAGCUUUUUAACAAUCUCUCUGUUCCUCAAGCCUGCUUUCUUCUUCUUAGCACCUAUUACCUUUUGAUAUUAAAUGUUUGUUAUUUGUCUCUCUCUCCCAGGAGAAUGUAAACAUUAUCAGUGCACAACUUUAGUUUUGUUCAGUGCUCUUCCUGGCACCUGGAAAACAAUGCAGGGCCCACAGGAGGUGCUCAAUUGGUAUCUGUGAAUGUACAGAAUAAAGGAAUGUGGGAAGGAACCAGGGAGACUGCUGUUGAGAGGUUUUGGUUCUUGUUCCAAUCUGGAACAGGUAUGGGUUCUUAUCAUCACUGAUUCCAGAGCAGAGGCUGGGAAGCUGAAGCCUCCCCAAUUCACCACAGGCUUUGCCAUGAACUGAAUUGUGUCCUAAAGUUCCUUUGUUGAAGCCUUAACCCCCAAUAUGAUAGUAUUUGUGGAUGGAACUCAUGGGAAGUAAUUAGGGUUAGAGAUGAGAUCAUAAGGGUGGGGCUCUUGUGAUGGGAUUAGUGACUUUAUAUGAAAAGGAAGCAAGAAGAGAUGGUGGCUCUCCGCCUUGUGAAAAGACAGAAAAAGCGGCCAACUGCAAGCUAAGAAGAGAGCUCUCACCAGGAAUUGAAUUGGUCAACACCUUGAUCUUAGACUUCCAGCCUCCAGAACUU